rnacentral:rRNA from 1 species
UACGUAGGGGGCUAGCGUUGUCCGGAAUCAUUGGGCGUAAAGCGCGUGUAGGCGGCCCGGUAAGUCCGCUGUGAAAGUCGGGGGCUCAACCCUCGGAUGCCGGUGGAUACUGUCGGGCUAGAGUACGGAAGAGGCGAGUGGAAUUCCUGGUGUAGCGGUGAAAUGCGCAGAUAUCGGGAGGAACACCAGUGGCGAAGGCGGAACUCUGGGCCGGAACUGACGCUGAGGAGCGAAAGCGUGGGGAGCGAACAGG